GAUUAGCCUGCGUCCGAUUAGCUAGUUGGUAGGGUAAAGGCCUACCAAGGCGACGAUCGGUAGCUGGUCUGAGAGGAUGGCCAGCCACACUGGAACUGAGACACGGUCCAGACUCCUACGGGAGGCAGCAGUGGGGAAUAUUGGACAAUGGGGGCAACCCUGAUCCAGCAAUGCCGCGUGYGUGAAGAAGGCCUGAGGGUUGUAAAGCACUUUCAGUGGGGAGGAGGAUUGAUWGGUUAAGAGCUGAUUAAUUGGACGUUACCCACAGAAGAAGCACCGGCUAACUCCGUGCCAGCAGCCGCGGUAAUACGGAGGGUGCGAGCGUUAAUCGGAAUUACUGGGCGUAAAGGGUGCGUAGGUGGUUUGAUAAGUUAUCUGUAAAAGCCCAGGGCUCAACCUUGGAAGGCCAGAUAAUACUGUUGAACUGGAGUAUGGGAGAGGGUAGUGGAAUUUCCGGUGUAGCGGUGAAAUGCGUAGAGAUCGGAAGGAACACCAGUGGCGAAGGCGGCUACCUGGCCUGAUACUGACACUGAAGCACGAAAGCGUGGGGAGCAAACAGGAUUAGAUACCCUGGUAGUCCACGCUGUAAACGAUGUCAACUAGCUGUUGG
rnacentral:rRNA from 1 species